UCGUAGUCAAACCCCACAGCCACGCGAACUCUAAGUCAGUCACGAAUAGGCUAUCCCAACUAACGGCGGGAUAGACUCCACGGAGGGUGUAAGACCCGUGUGGGCGUGUGGCAAAGCUGUGCGGGUUCGGCCUCUUUUCCCUGAGAGUCGCGUUGCUUGAGCAUGCAGCGCUAAGCAGGUCGUAAACUCGAUCUAAGGCUAAAUAUAUCCACAGACCCGAUAGCGAACAAGUACCGUGAGGGAAAGUUGAAAAGCACUCUGGAGAGAGAGUCAAAAGACCGUGAAACCGCUCAGAGUAUAAGCCCAUGGCAACUUGGAAGGCAUAUCGCUAGCGGGGCAUCGGUCUCCCUUCACGGGGAGGUGCUGGUGUUACCUUGCUUCUGUUGUGGCUCGUCACGGUAGGGGGGUCCAGUCCACAUCCCGCCGACGUGUGGGGAGUUCUCGGGUGCGUCGGGUCAUUCGGUGUUGGUUUCGGCCGCGCCGUUUUGGCUCUUCGUGCUUGGUUCUCUUUCAACACGGACGUUCAGACUCAGAGGCAAGACGCGAUAAACAGCCCACCACGGCACGUUGUGAGGUCACCCACAGACUCAGCUUUCGAUUGUGGUCCUUGACGCCGAGCAAGCACAAUGCGUGUCGCAGAUGUUCCUGACCGGGGAGUUGUACCCCCGGAUGGUGGAACGACACGCGCUCAUGAGAGUCAGGAUCGGGCGAUGACAGAGUUCUGGUAUGAUCCUCUUGCGACGAGCCGGCUUCUGGCCAAAUUCCGAUGUUCAGAUCUCCCGCAUGUGCCGCGGGAGAUCGCCUCGACGGUCUGGAGCUUACAGUAGUCCUCUCAGUCGGGCAUCGGAAAGAGUGGUGUAAAGUCCAAGCCCAUCGGUCACGUCUCGAAACACGGGCCAAGGAGUAUAGCAUGUGUGCAAGUCUAAGAGUCUCCCAAAACUCGAAGGCGAAGUGAAAGCAAGGACGCGGCGGGCGAUCUACCCAGAGACCCCGUCAGCUAGAGGGUCCC
rnacentral:rRNA from 1 species